rnacentral:lncRNA from 1 species
UGAUGUCAAGAUUAAACUCAAGUUGCUUCUAAACAAAAUCCACUUGCAACCUAUUACGAAUUGAUGUGUGUUUUGAAAUUUCAUCUGGCUAAAUUUUUAAAACGAUUUCUAUACUGUAUUUUGCUUGAGGACAAGCAAAGAUCUAAGUAUGGGGGAGUUUGAUAACAUGAAAUUAUAUCAUAUUUUUGGACUCAAUUUAAUUAAAUUAUAUUAUUAUUUAUUUCAAUUUAUUUCAUUUUAUUAGAUAUUACGCGGUAUUUUCU